ACGCGCUUCGCGGCGCUGGACGCCAACGGCGACGGCGUGCUGUCCCGCGCCGAGCUCCGCCGCGCGCUCGAGUCGUUCCGCCUCCUCGACGGCGACGGGUUCGGGUCCGCCGAGCCGGCGCCGCUCCCCGCCGAGGUCGCCGCGCUCUACGACGCCGUCUUCGAGCAGUUCGACGCCGACCACAGCGGCGCCGUCGACCGCGCCGAGUUCCGCGACGAGAUGCGCCGCAUCAUGCUCGCCGUCGCCGAGGGGCUCGGCUCGCAGCCGCUCCAGGUCGCCGUCGACGACGAGGGAGGAAGCUUCCUGCUCGAGGCCGCGCAGCACGAGGCCAAGGCCAUCGCCGCCAAGGUCGACGCCGAGCGCAAGGCGGCGGCCGCCGAUGCUGAUGCUGCCGCCGC
rnacentral:lncRNA from 1 species